rnacentral:rRNA from 1 species
CCAAUAGCGUAUAUUAAAGUUGUUGCAGUUAAAAAGCUCGUAGUUGAAUUUCGGGAUCAAUAUGUCGGUCGUGCCUUCGGUACGUACUGGCGUCAUUGGCUUCUCCCUUCUGAUGAACCAUGAUGUCAUUAAUUUGGUGUUGUGGGGAAUCAGGACUGUUACUUUGAAAAAAUUAGAGUGUUUAAAGCAGGCUCACGCUUGAAUACAUUAGCAUGGAAUAAUGAAAUAGAAGGUUUGAUUCUAUUUUGUUGGUUUCUAGGAUCGACGUAAUGAUUAAUAGGGAUAGUUGGGGGCAUUAGUAUUCAAUUGUCAGAGGUGAAAUUCUUGGAUUUAUUGAAGACUAACUACUGCGAAAGCAUUUGCCAAGGAUGUUUUCAUUAAUCAAGAACGAAAGUUAGGGGAUCGAAGACGAUCAGAUACCGUCGUAGUCUUAACCAUAAACUAUGCCGACUAGGGAUCGGAUGAUGUUAAUUUUUUAAUGACUCAUUCGGCGCCUUACGG